GAUGAACGCUGGCGGCGUGCCUAAUACAUGCAAGUCGAGCGAACGGACGAGAAUCUUUCUUCUCUGAUGUUAGCGGCUGUCGUGUUAUUAACACGUGUUUAACCUACCUUUAUUUCUUUUAUUACUUCGGGAAUCCUGUUCUUAUACCGUAUAAUAUUUUGAACCGCAUUGUUCUUAAGUGAAAGACGGUCUUUCUUUCUCUUCUAGACUGAUCCGCGCUGCAUUAGCUAUUUGGUAAGUUAAAGGCUUACCAAGGCAACGAUGCAUAGCCGACAUGAGAGGGUGAUCGGACACACUGGAACUGAGACACGGACCAGACUACUACGGGAGGCAGCAGUAGGGAAUAUUCCGCAAUGGGCGAAAGCAUGACGGAGCAACGCCGCGUGAGUGAUGAAGGUCUUCGGAUCGUAAAACUCUGUUAUUAGGGAAGAACAUAUGUGUAAGUAACUGUGCACAUCUUGACGGUACCUAAUCAGAAAGCCACGGCUAACUACGUG
rnacentral:rRNA from 1 species